rnacentral:rRNA from 1 species
GACGAACGCUGGCGGCGUGCUUAACACAUGCAAGUCGAACGGAAAGGCCCUGCUUUUGUGGGGUGCUCGAGUGGCGAACGGGUGAGUAACACGUGAGUAACCUGCCCUUGACUUUGGGAUAACUUCAGGAAACUGGGGCUAAUACCGGAUAGGAGCUCCUGCUGCAUGGUGGGGGUUGGAAAGUUUCGGCGGUUGGGGAUGGACUCGCGGCUUAUCAGCUUGUUGGUGGGGUAGUGGCUUACCAAGGCUUUGACGGGUAGCCGGCCUGAGAGGGUGACCGGCCACAUUGGGACUGCGAUACGGCCCAGAAUCCUACGGGAGGCAGCAGUGGGGAACAUUGCACAAUGGGCGGAAGCCUGAUGCAGCGGCGCCGCGUGCGGGAUGACGGGCUUCGGGUUGUAAACCGCUUUCGCCUGUGACGAAGCGUGAGUGACGGUAAUGGGUAAAGAAGCACCGGCUAACUACGUG